UGAAAUUUUUAAGGCCUGUUGUCUGCACUAAAUCAUCAACCAGAUCAUCCUGGCAUCAAUGUAGAUAAGCUAAAUGUUAAAACUUGUAUCACCCAAUAAGUCGUGACACUGAGGAUAUGAGACUGUACUGGAUGUCAUGUUACUCAAGCAUUGCGACAUUAUUGCUUGGUCUGAAUUAGAAAUAAUAGAAAUAUGCGUAUCUCAUUGCUUUGAUAGACAUAUAGCCAUAUUUCAGUUAUAUGAAGCCUGAAACUGAGAUUUCUUUUGAAUGUUAUAGCAGUCUACUAUCUAAACCAUUUCCAGGGAAUAAUGUUCAAUUUCUUCCAGCCUUUGUGAAUUCUCCAUCCUUGAAAUAUCAUAUUCAGAGUGCGUAUCUGGUUGCAUAUAAGUUCAAGGCUUGGUGCAUCUCUGCUUUGAGCUGUGAAUUGGCUCAUUUAUAAGUACAUGUCUGUUUAAAUUUUUGUAUUCUGAUUCAAUCUAUUCUUGAAUUCUUUUGCUAGGACCACUGGAAAAAUGUCUCCAAAAUUCUGUGCCCACCAAGUUGUCAUUCAGUUUGAAUUGUCCAGGAAAAGUGCAACUCACUACCUCCAAAAGGGCACUCACAGUUAAGGCUGCAAAUAGUGAUGGUGGAAGGUCAAGCGGCGCUGGUAUUUUUGUCGGUGGCUUUGUUUUGGGAGGACUUAUAGUUGGUGCACUUGGAUGCGUAUAUGCACCUCAGGUCUAAUUGAUUUGCCUGUUACUGUUAAAUUUUGUAAGGAUUAUGUGUAGUAUUUCGUCUUCCCUAACCUUAUGGUUUUAUCAUCAGUUGAAGUGGUUUGAUAAAAUAAAUAGAUGGGUUAUAAGAUGGUUCUGUUGUUAAGAUAUAAGUCGCACAACCAAAAUUUUCUAUUUCUAGAACUAAUCAUAAAUGCACUCUUAGCAACACCAAACUUACUGUUAUAACUCUUUUGCGACUUGAAUCUUGUUUCUCAUCCGAUACAGAUUAGCAAGGCAUUAGCUGGUACUGACCGAAAAGAUCUUAUGAGAAAACUCCCUAAAUUCAUCUAUGAUGAAGAAAAGGCUUUGGAGAGAACCCGAAAGAUAUUAACUGAGAAGAUUGCACAACUGAACUCUGCUAUUGAUGGUGUUUCUGCUCAACUUCGAUCAGAAGAUGCCCCAAAUGGAGUGGCAGUGAACUCUGAUGAAAUUGAAGCUGUUAUAUGAGAGACACUGAAUGUGUUAUAGAAUACUAUACUUCUUCUCUCCCACCUGCAAUUUCAUGGCAAGAAAUAAUAGCUGAACUGAUUGUGAUGUCUUCUUCUUAGUGAGCAGUGUGGUUGUCUGCUCAAUUGUUUGUGGUGGCUGCUUUGCGCUGGUUUAAUUUUUAUAAUAUUACUUGAUAUAUCAUUUAAGUUUUAUUUGAUUAUCUAUUAUUGAAA
rnacentral:misc_RNA from 1 species